CCCCAUUCAAUUGUAUUAAUAUCACCAUUAUUUCUCAUUCAUAGGUAUUAAAGUUGGUUUAUUAAUCCCUUGGGAAUUUGACGUUUCAUCCUUCAAUCACUCCCCAGAAUGGCGUCGUCGAAGGUUUCUUCUUCGUUCGUUACACCGUAAAAAAUACUUGCAGAUGUUUUGCUAUAUAAAUGCUCAAUCAAAUCUCUUGCCAGGGUUGGCAAUAGAGUUAGGGAAACAAAUGAUAUAUUAGGAAACCUCAUCCACACCGGGCUCAUUAUUAAGGUUUUCGAUUGGUAUAUUUUGGGUUUCUUUAUCAUCUUCCAUUUAGAAUUUCUUAAUUUUUUGGAUGUUAUUUUGCAGAUUUUGGUUGGUAUAUAAGAAAGGAGCUACCAUCCAUCUCAGUAUUGAUGCAUAUCAUUUUUAUCUGUUCUUUUAACUGUUCAACAAUGGUUUGAUUCAUCAUUUGUAAUUGAUUCCUACCUCUACUGAGGUUACUUUUGAAAAAUACAUAUCUUUUAGGAAGUUCUUUCAAUCCUGAUCUGUUAUAAUUUUGGGAUACUACUUAUAUUGUCAUCGAAACAAUGCCGCUAGGUUGUGAGUUUUCUCCUCCAGAAAUCAGAUUGCCAACCUUGCAUUUCUUUUAUUUUUCAAUAAAUUUGCAGGUAAUUUGUGGCUGACUUUUUAUCGGAGAGGUUCGGAAACAAUCACUCUUUCAAAUGCAUAUAAACUGUUUGAUUUUUUUUUUAAAGUGAUAUCCUGUUUCGUACUAUAUUUUCAGCAACUGUUUUUCUCCUUUGGUGUUCUAAGUUUCUCAUACAGUAGAAGGGAAGUAGGAAUAUGUGUUAAGUGUUGAUGAUCAAUUAAGAUGACAUGAUGGUAUUGGAUGAGGAGUCUUUGAGUAAGAUGAGAAACUCUUGGAAAUGGUUCCAACCUCUAGGUUUUUUGGCCUCAAUGGGGGCAUUGGAAUCUUAAUCUGUGUAGCACUAUAAAUGCCAGAAAUGUUGGCAGAGGAAUAUAUAUGAUAAAGGAAAAACGAAAAUUGCAGCACCAGAGGAGUGAAUGGAGGAAUCGGAUGCGGCGACGGAGAAAAUUAACCCUGUAAGAGUGUUUGGUAGGCCUUUUUUGGUAUGUCCAUUUGCAUGAUGUUCGUACAUUGAUCAGUGCGACGGGGGUAAAAUCAUUGGUCUUUGCAUAUAAUGGGUCUCAGAACUAAUUUGUGAUUGUCCAAAUCAAGUUGUGAUUACCGUGGCAGCUGAGGUACACAAUACUAUGGUGGCUCUGAUUCAUUUAACUUUUAUACGGUUAUUUUAUUGUUUCCAGGAUGUUAUGCUUACAUGUGAUGAACGUUUUUGAAGGUUUUAUCGGUCCAUUCCAUAUUUUUGUGAAUCCAUGAUAUGCCAUUUGUUUGUAGCCAACAACUAUUCUUCAGUAGCAUCCUGAGUAGUGCUUUAAUGAUACAUGGUUUUAAUUUAUACACAAAUACUUUGAGUAAAUUACAUAAUCUCUUACCUGAAAAUAAAUCUAAUUUAAUUUGUUACAGGAAAUUAUACUACAUGAAUCUGUGACUAAACUGAGAAACAUAGUAGUGUGGUUCCAUAUGUUCAGUUAUUAAUGUCGCAAGCAGUAGAGGAAUAAACACGAGAUAAAAGAGAACAGACAGAAAAAACUUACGUUGUAUGAUAUUUUUUUGGUUUUUCCUUCAUGAAUGCGCUGAGCAACAAAACUCAGGUGCUUCAAAUAAUUUCAUGGUACCCUAACUCUUCAAAUCUUGGUGGGAAGUUCUACUUAGUUUCCCUAGAUUUUGUUUCACAAUGUACCAUCUAUUUUAUUAUAUAUCAUUUUUUCCCCAUUAUGGCUUUCAUUUUUUCUUUGGUGCGACUGUUCCUAAUAUUUUUUUCAUUGUGUAGCGUCCAACAUUAGCAACGGACACCAAGGUGACAAAACUUAAAUCAGCUUAGAGUUGUAGCCUAAGUUAAAGAGGCAUCAACUAACAAUUGAGAGUGCAGUAAGUCCGAUCUCUUCUUUUUCAGUUGGAUGGUUAGUUUACAUAAACUCUGUCAACAGUGAGCUCAUUUUGAGUUUCUUCCAUGAUAAAUUUUACCUUAGAUUUUUCAAUAGGGUCAUAUAUUUGAUUUUUACCCUAAGGCUUAUAGUUGUCAUGACAAUGUCUUAUGUAGCAACAGGCUAAAGACAACGUGUUGAUUGGUUUUUGUAAAUUGAAUUGAUUGGCUAGGAUUUAAUCUAAGUUGUAGAUAAAUAAAAUAACCCAUAAUUAAUUGAUUGAUAUUUGUACAUGCCAAUUCAUAUGUUGAAUUGAGAACUUCAUUAGCAACGGACACCAAGGUGACAAAACUUAAAUCAGCUUAGAGUUGUAGCCUAAGUUAAAGAGGCAUCAACUAACAAUUGAGAGUGCAGUAAGUCCGAUCUCUUCUUUUUCAGUUGGAUGGUUAGUUUACAUAAACUCUGUCAACAGUGAGCUCAUUUUGAGUUUCUUCCAUGAUAAAUUUUACCUUAGAUUUUUCAAUAGGGUCAUAUAUUUGAUUUUUACCCUAAGGCUUAUAGUUGUCAUGACAAUGUCUUAUGUAGCAACAGGCUAAAGACAACGUGUUGAUUGGUUUUUGUAAAUUGAAUUGAUUGGCUAGGAUUUAAUCUAAGUUGUAGAUAAAUAAAAUAACCCAUAAUUAAUUGAUUGAUAUUUGUACAUGCCAAUUCAUAUGUUGAAUUGAGAACUUCCUUACUCGAGCAUUAGAUUAUGAUGACACUCACAACUAAUAGGACUGAAAUAGUGUACUCAACACGCUGAGAAUUUUUUAGAAGCAAUGUUGGAAAACAAAAAGAUAGUAAAUUUAGAAGCAAUGUUGGAAAACAAAAAGAUAGUAAAAGUGGUUGAUAAAAAUAUUAAAGUAGGUUCUUGGUAUCACGUAUUAGAGGUCAUACACGACAUAUAUCCAAUCCGUGUUGGUUUUUGCUGUAGAUAUACAGUAACCCGACAUGCAAAAUUUGUUAUGCGAAGAAUAUAUUUCGGAUUUGUAUCUGCUCUCCAACCACGAACAACUUCAUUUUAUUUAUAAAAAAAAUACAACUUACGAAUCCAUACUCCAUAGAUAUCAAAGGAAAUGGUUCAAUAUUACCACAAGUAAAUAUUAAUUGUGUGCUUUGAAGGAGUCUUUGAAUGGAUACUGGAGCUUUUGUUUACAUUAUGUUUAAUAAAAUUUCUAGCCUGGGUGUUGCUUAGCUAUCAUAAAGUUAAAAAUUUGUUACAUUAACACCGCGUUUGGAUACACAUCCAGAAGUAACUUUUUGACUUCUAGAAGUCAAAAAGCAAGAAGUCAGUUUGGAUGCAGAAUUUCAGAAUAACUUCCAAAAGCAGAAAGGUCGACUUUUUAUGAAGCAAAAAAUAUGGACUUCUGCUUCUGGAGAAGCACUUCUGACUUCUACUUCUGUAUCCAAACAGGCUAUAAGCAAUCAUUUGGAGGUUGCCAAGCUUUUAAUAAAAAAUUUUGUAUCGAAUUUGUUUUCCAUGUCCAUUUGUAGGUUGCUAAAAGGCGUCCUUAUACUACCAAAAACGGUGGUCGACUAUAUUGGCAUUGACGUGGAGGUUCUUAGGUUGCUCAUUCCUCUUCAUGAUUACCAAGUUCUAAAAAAAUUUAAGGUCAAAAUAAUGAUGUUUCCCCGAUGUCUUUAAGUUGUUGUUUAAGAGCGGUAUUUCUGGGUACACAUUUUCUAAGAAAUAAUUUGCAAGUAUGCAACCAGUAUUUUACAUAUUGCAGUUGAAUAACCAAGCUGAUAUGUUUUUAUAGGUCAUGAUGACAGAUCUUUUGUCGUAGAUAAUAUUGCAUUGUGUGAAUAACCAAUUUUCUUCACAAGAAUAUCAUCAAUGGUCACAGAAUUAGCACGGUUAAAUCUUUUGUAUACAACAUAGUAAUUGUGUGAAAUCUGGUGAAUGAUAAGUCUGCAGGGGGAUGUGGGGUUUUUGGCUGAUAAGUAGCAUGCCUUUUUGUUCUUCUUUUUUUUGGCAGGAGGCAGAAUCUUGAAAUUGCAUAACAGAAGGGUGCCUUAGCUAUUUAGUGUAUGCCCUAAAGUUUGAUAUUGCUUAGCUUUUACUUGAAUAUUAUCGGCUUUUGAGAUAACCAGGGUCGUUUCUGCCUAAAAAUGCAAAUCUAGGAUUGAAUAAUCUUGAAAUUGCAUAACAGAAGGGUUCCUUAGCUAUUUAGUGUAUUCCCUAAAGUUAGAUAUUGCUUAGCUUUUACUUGAAUAUUAUCGGCUUUUGAGAUAACCAGGGUCGUUUCUGCCUGAAAAUGCAAAUCUAGGAUUGAAUAAUUAUAGAACCUCUUGAUGAAAUGAAUCUGGAGAUUAAUUUAGUAGGAAGUAUCUUUGGAUAAGUUUAAUCUGUCAAUCCACAGCUCCAAACAAACAGGGUUAUUACAAAGUAAGGUUGACUCCGGCAGAACUUAGGGUGGGUUUUAUAAAAGGGGAGGAAUUUUAUGUCACAUGGAUCCAAGAGACCAUGUAAUUUGGCAUGUAAUAUUGACCAGUGUAUUAACAAAUUCUACUUCGUGACACAUAAUUUUGUUUUAGAAUUGUCUUUUCUUAGAGGAAAAAUUUAUCAGUGUUUUUAAGCAAAAAAAUUGAUCAG